CUUUAUUAGGAGCAUCUGAAAAUAAGUUUUCCAAGUUCAUUGGAUUCUGUUAGGCAAACAGAGUUCAAAAGGGAAAGAAUUGAAGACUGUGAUUUGGUCCCCUGGCAGAGGUGGUUUUAGGAGUGAUCUUUUCCCAACCCAUCAGGAGUAACUUGAGAAUUGGAUCUGUUAGUUGUUGAAAAAUGGAAGCAGGAGACUGACAUUGCAGCUAGCUGUCCGGCUCAGAGGAGACGGGAAUAGACAAAACGCUGUCAUUUGUUACUUGAUUAGUAUCUUGAUUUUGGAUGGCAUGCCAGAGCCGUUAUCAAUUAUUAAAUAAAGAAGAGAAAUAAAUUGACAGAGAUAUACACAACACCGCUUUCCCACAUAAAUACAGUUGUAAUGUAUCAUCUUUUGACAUUUUAAUGACAACUCUGUUGCACUUUAUGUCAUCCACGUACUACAGAAGUUCCCCUCCCAACCUCUCUCCAUCAGGCAAGACUAAUGCCUUUCAUCACAUAUGGAAAAUUAAAACAACCAAAUGCAGCUAGUCUCCAGAAACGUGUUGCCAAUGGCAAAAGGAACUGCUCUAAGAGGCAUAAAAACAUAGUUUAUGCUGACAAACCUCUAAGCAUGCCGGUGAAAACUAUGAUGCACUCACCCAUCACAAGGAUGAAGCUUACAGAAGCAAGUUGAUAGAUUUAUUUGCUGAUCACUCAAGAAAAGGAAGGAAUGAACUGUGUCAUCCUGCUUGCAUUUUUACAGAAGGCAUUUGCUCAUGCAGAAAGACGAUCGGCAUUACACCAAGGUGCUCUGAGUUUUUUUGUUUUGUUUUUUUGCAGACUCCUGGUUGAACUGGCAAAGGCACAUGAAGGUCAAAUGACUUGCCGGAGGUUAUCCAUUGAUCUGAGUGUUUUUGGCAGGAUGGCAGCCAAAUCUUCAUGCUCAUCCUGGUGCAUUGCCCAUCAGCUGUCAGUGCAGGAUUCUGUUCUCUUCAGUCUGUAUUUCAUUUGUAAAACAAAAUGGGCUUCACACCAUUUGGUAAUAAUUUAAUAGACGGCACAUUAAAAAUCCAGAGGACAUGUGUAUGAUUGCUUUACAGCACAUCAGCAAAAUGCCACUAUCGUGCACAGGAAAUGCAGUGUUUGGAGUAAAGCUGAGAUUCAACACAUUCAUUCUAGCAUCAAUCUCAAGCAGAGGCAAGGCAGAACAAGCAGAGGCAAGACAGUUCCUUGGACAGCUCCAUGCAGGGCUCAGGGACUGCUCAGAUGUUGCUUCAGCACCAGUUAUUUAGAUUAAGCCUCAGACUGCAGCUCCCUCUCAGUAGUUAGCUCUGCCUUCACUUCAAGGGGCCUAGAUUUCUCUAGCAACCUUUGAAUCCGACAAGGAUUUUCUUGUGGUCUUUACUUUUGUGAGUCAGCUUUUAUUAUUGUUCAGCACUGAUGUCGAGCAAUGCAAAUGCAAAACAGGAAAAGCUUUGCGGUAAAGAUAUUGCUGUUUUCUCAAAGUACAAAGGUGUCUGUCGGCCUGCAGCCCUGAUGUUUUCUCCUCCCGACCUGCCUCAAUAAUGCAAACUAGCAGCAGUGGAAUUUAUUCUCCUGAGACCGUAAUCUUCAUUUACCUGCUACCAAGAGGAAAAGCACGACACUGGAAUCCAUUGCACUUCUUAAUGAAGACAGAUGGUUUACCUGGCAGCUCCCCUUCGCGCCUUCUGUCUCAGGGCAAGCAGAUUGAAAGGGAGGAGGGGCAGAACCAGGGGGGUCACAUGGAACCCACAGUCGGACCGAAGAUCCACAGAGAAUGGCGCCCUGGAGGAGCAAAAAUAAAAUAAAGAGAAGAAAAAAGAACUUAUCAAAAAUAAAGGUAACCAUGAACCAUUGUUCUGACACAGGCAGCCUCAGACUAUUCUCACAUGCUUCUUCUUUUCAAGCAACCUGCCUGCUUUCAAGAGCAGGCAAUCUGCUCUUCUCCCUGUGUGUAGGAGGAGGAAACAUGCUUCAAAACCGUCUAAAUGCAGCUGCUUCUUAUAUAAAACUCAAAACAUGCAGUUUAAAGACUUUGACAAAAGUGACAACGUAAGUGGAGCAGCAGCUGUUCCCGAGAGAGGGGGAAGUGAACCCCAAAAUGUCCCAGUUGACCAACUGCCAGGGGACCCUUGUUCCUUUAGCUGCCACAAAAAAUGUGAAAUUCUCCUGCCUUUUUCCCACUUAGUUUGCAUUUGCUGGGCCCUGGGGUCAUAUGGAAACCUAUGCCUGGAAGGUGGAGCUGGAGACAGAUGCAGAGCAAAGUUUUAAGAAGGUGGAGACCCUCUGAAGCAGAAUCAGUUCUACUCAGUUGAUUAGGCAUUAGCAUCAGGCCUGGCCCAUCCAGCAAUUGCACCCCACUGAAUUCCCUUCUGUGCCUGAAGAGGACCCUGAAGCCUGACCAGUUCUGCAAGUUUCCAAGCUCCAGGAAUGAAUCUUCAUGCUAGACAGUAAGGAAGCUGACACUCUGAACAGGUGUUUGUGAUCAGUAGUGGACUGGGUAAGGAGGCUAGCAAACCAAAGCGAAUUUCGGACAGUAUGGCACUCUUGAUGAUUGGCAGCUCAGUUGAUCCUGGAGUUAAUGUUUGGCUGCAUUUGAAAUCAAGUUUGUAUUAAUCGGUGUACUUUGGUAGUAUGGUAUGUAUUCUGAUACGUUGCAACUUGUCCUGUGACCAUGUGGUGAAGGGUGGGAAAUAAAUCACUAAAUAAAUGAAAUUACCACUGCAAUCAAAUUCCCUUCCUCCACGAGCUUGGACUUUCCUCUGACGGUCCCAAAGUAGUAAAAUAAGAAGCUGCAUUUUACUAACCCACACAGUGGUCCAUGUAGCUCAGUGU